GGCGUCGCGGCGUAGUUGGUUAACGCGUCGGCAUGCAUAGCCGAAAGUCGCCAGUUUGAAUCCAGCCGAUACCC
rnacentral:tRNA from 1 species